UAUUAAGGUUGUAUUGUCAAAUACUAU
rnacentral:sRNA from 1 species